rnacentral:rRNA from 1 species
UACGGAGGGUGCGAGCGUUGUCCGGAAUCACUGGGCGUAAAGGGCGCGUAGGCGGCCCGAUAAGUAGGGGGUGAAAUCCUGCGGCUUAACCGCAGGGCUGCCUUCUAAACUGUCAGGCUGGAGCACAGUAGAGGCAGGUGGAAUUCCCGGUGUAGCGGUGGAAUGCGUAGAGAUCGGGAAGAACAUCAGUGGCGAAGGCGGCCUGCUGGGCUGUUGCUGACGCUGAGGCGCGACAGCGUGGGGAGCAAACAGG